rnacentral:rRNA from 1 species
CAGUACCGUGAGGGAAAGGCGAAAAGAACCCCUGUGAGGGGAGUGAAAUAGAUCCUGAAACCGCAUGCAUACAAGCAGUGGGAGCCGACUUGUUCGGUGACUGCGUACCUUUUGUAUAAUGGGUCAGCGACUUACAUUCAGUAGCAAGGUUAACCGCAUAGGGGAGCCGUAGGGAAACCGAGUCUUAAUAGGGCGUAUAGUUGCUGGGUGUAGACCCGAAACCAGGCGAUCUAUCCAUGAGCAGGUUGAAGGUUGGGUAACACUAACUGGAGGACCGCACCCACUGUCGUUGAAAAGCCAGGGGAUGACUUGUGGAUAGGGGAGAAAGGCUAAUCAAGCCUGGUGAUAGCUGGUUCUCCCCGAAAGCUAUUUAGGUAGCGCCUCGGACGAAUACCAUUGGGGGUAGAGCACUGUUUCGGCUAGGGGGUCAUCCCGACUUACCAAACCGAUGCAAACUCCGAAUACCAAUGAGUACUAUCCGGGAGUCAGACUGCGUGAGCUAUCGUCCCUAGUCUAG